GUAGGGGUAUUAGGUAGAUGUAGUGGUGUUGGGGUAUUAGGUAGAUGUAGGGGUGUAGGGAUAUUAGGUAGAUGUAGUGGUGUAGAGUUAUUAGGUAGAUGUAGGGGUGUAGAGUUAUUAGGUAGAUGUAGGGGUGUAGAGUUAUUAGGUAGAUGUAGGGGUGUAGAGUUAUUAGGUAGAUGUAGGGGUGUAGAGUUAUUAGGUAGAUGUAGGGCUGUAGGCGUAUUAGGUAGAUGUAGGGCUGUAGAGUUAUUAGGUAGAUGUAGGGGUGUAGAGUUAUUAGGUAGAUGUAGGGGUGUAGGGAUAUUAGGUAGAUGUAGUGGUGUAGGGAUAUUAGGUCGAUGUAGGGGUGUAGGGAUAUUAGGUAGAUGUAGUGGUGUAGAGGUGUUAGGUAGAUGUA
ensembl:lncRNA